GUAGGUCCUACCUACGACAACGGUUACAGUAACCGCUACAGUAGAUCUAUCUAUGGCAUGAUUAUCCAUAACCACUAUCGUAGGUCGACCUACGGCAGCAGUUAUUUAUAACUGCUGCCGUAGGUUCUGUAACAGUGAUUUUAGAAACCACUGCCGUAUUAGCACUACCAUAGCUCCUUUUUGUAGUAGUGAUAGAUUGUACAUUGAGCUUAGACUUGAGAUGGAAAUUAUCGAUAGAAGAGAUCUUUGGUUAGUAUAUCACCAAAUUGCUUUAGAGAGG
rnacentral:lncRNA from 1 species